GUCUGACAGAUUGCACAGGGCUUUAGAUGAACUGUAUUCUCUUUCAUUUGCCUGACACGCUGUAUUUACGGCACAUUAUGUCCAGUAUGUUGUCAUUUUAUAGGCUUUUGUAUACACAGACUGCAGCAGGCUCCAGAGGGAUUCACCAAUGGCUGGUCACACACAGCUGUUGAAAGCUUCCAUUUCCAAGCGUGUAGGAGGAACUACGGUGGCCGCAAAACUCGAAAAGAAGGCAAAAUGCCCUAUCUACAGUCAGUGUUUGGUUUGACCGUUCUGGGCUACUGUAGAAACACGGAGGUUCAACAAGAUGGACUGCAGAGAAGAGCAACUGCUCCCUUUGUAGAUAAACUAGAUCUUCCUAAAUGUUGCAUACUGGACUUUAACAUAUAUACGCACAAAAUGUGGAAGAAUGGUGUUAUAUGGAUGAUUUAAUAGCGAUUGAAAUACAUUUUACAUGAAGGACACCAUUAGAGGAGGAAUAAUGAGCUUCAGGAGUGUACAUUGUAAUGGUGAUCUGACUGACACACCCUUUUAAUAAACAGUUGUCUUUAAAAGGAUAAA